AGCCCCAUCGUCUAGUGGACAAGGACAGCAGGCUCUGGACCUGUAAACACCAGUUCGAAUCUGGUUGGGGCUA
rnacentral:tRNA from 1 species